rnacentral:rRNA from 1 species
GGGGGGCUCGUUUUUCUAGGUGCAGCGCUUAUUGCGCGGCGAAAAACCUUACACACAGUGUUUUUUGUUAUUACAAGAACUUUUGCUUUGGUCUGGACUAGAAAUAGUUUGGGCCAGAGGUUUACUGAACUAAACUUCAAUAUUUAUAUUGAAUUGUUAUUUAUUUAAUUGUCAAUUUGUUGAUUAAAUUCAAAAAAUCUUCAAAACUUUCAACAACGGAUCUCUUGGUUCUCGCAUCGAUGAAGAACGCAGCGAAAUGCGAUAAGUAAUAUGAAUUGCAGAUUUUCGUGAAUCAUCGAAUCUUUGAACGCACAUUGCGCCCUCUGGUAUUCCAGAGGGCAUGCCUGUUUGAGCGUCAUUUCUCUCUCAAACCUUCGGGUUUGGUAUUGAGUGAUACUCUUAGUCGAACUAGGCGUUUGCUUGAAAUGUAUUGGCAUGAGUGGUACUGGAUAGUGCUAUAUGACUUUCAAUGUAUUAGGUUUAUCCAACUCGUUGAAUAGUUUAAUGGUAUAUUUCUCGGUAUUCUAGGCUCGGCCUUACAAUAUAACAAACAAGUUUGACCUCAAAUCAGGUAGGAUUACCCGCUGAACUUAAGCAUAUCAAAAGCCGGAGGAA